CCUACGGGGGACAGCAGUGGGGAAUAUUGGACAAUGGGGGGAACCCUGAUCCAGCCAUGCCGCGUGUGUGAAGAAGGCCCUCGGGUUGUAAAGCACUUUCAGUGAGGAAGAACGCCUGGUGGUUAAUACCCAUCAGGAAAGACAUCACUCACAGAAGAAGCACCGGCUAACUCCGUGCCAGCAGCCGCGGUAAUACGGAGGGUGCGAGCGUUAAUCGGAAUUACUGGGCGUAAAGCGCGCGUAGGUGGCUUGAUAAGCCGGUUGUGAAAGCCCCGGGCUCAACCUGGGAACGGCAUCCGGAACUGUCAAGCUAGAGUGCAGGAGAGGAAGGUAGAAUUCCCGGUGUAGCGGUGAAAUGCGUAGAGAUCGGGAGGAAUACCAGUGGCGAAGGCGGCCUUCUGGACUGACACUGACACUGAGGUGCGAAAGCGUGGGUAGCAAACAGGAUUAGAUACCCCUGUAGUC
rnacentral:rRNA from 1 species